rnacentral:lncRNA from 1 species
AAAAUAUAGAACAACUGAAGUAAAAAGUCUUAAAAAAUUCAAUGAAAUGUCAUUGUUUCUUUUUUGAAAAUGUUGGAAAUGACAUUUUCUAAAUUUCAAAAUUUCAGGAAAUGAUAAUCAUGUUUUAUGAAAUUCGAAAUGAAAAGAAUAAGGCAAACCUAUUUUCACACUCAUUUUCUGAUUUCACUGAAAAUGAAAACAACAAAUGGCCAAAGCAAACACACCCUAGUCUCCUUUUUCAGGAAUCUCUGCAUUCAUGUAAGUUUGGUGCUGUUCACACUUCACAGCAAUCAGAGAUGCUCAGACAGCGAACCUUCCAGCUAUAAACAUUCAGUAGCCUGCAAAAGGGAACACAACGUGUACCACAUAACUGGCUUCCCCAAUUUCUAAAGGAGAAAUGGAAUGAAUUGUGACCAUAAAGUUAAAUAUUAGAACCAUGAUACCUAAGCUUAGCACUACUACCAUAUCCCAUUACAGCACUUCAUCAAAAACGGGAGAUUAUUUUAGUCUGGGUUUUGAAAAUGUACAGUAAAUCUUAGAAAUUAAAAACUAACUUAGAAAUUAAAUCCUCGAAUUCCAACAUAGACUUUAGACCUUUGAAUUGCAAAUCAAUUGCAAUAAUAACAAUGGUUAAGCAUUAUUAUGCUAAUUCCUAAAGUCAUACAUCUUUCCAGCAUCUCCCUUUCUAGAGCCCAAUCCCAAUUAUUAUCUUUCCAACCACAAGUAACAGUUCAUAUACAGAUCAGUUUAAAUAUGAAAGAGAGACAGCGGAUCCAGGUAGACUUGAACCACCAUCCUCCCAUACUUUAACCGUUGGGCGCUCUUUCCAAUUUGAGCCUAUGGAUCCAUCAUUGCGGAGAGUAGUUUAUCAGAGGGGAAUUUUUAUAUCAAAUGAAAAAUUCAAUGACAACCAAAAACUUAUCCAACAAAAUUAAGAAACAGGUGCAUAAAGUGGCAAACUUGUGCUUGGUUCUAUCAUCAUUCUGCAGAAAGAUCAAGUUAAUUCACACAAUGCAGUUUCCAGUUACUACAUUAUGGAUUAAAACUUCAGAUUUCAGUUUAAAUUGUGAAUACUUCCAUAACAUACCGUUUAUUACUGGUCACACUACUUACUAGAUUGAAACAGAACUACGAAUGGGCUGAAUCUAGAAGCCGAACUGGUCGGCUCCCUAAAGUUAAUCUCACGGAAAUCCUAUAACUACAGUCUCUUACAUUAUGUUAAGGAAAACCACAAAGCAGGGCGCUAACCUUCACAAGUAUCAAAAGGCACCGAACAUUCUCUAGCAAAUAGAACUAUAAAAUAUAUUUGCAUAUAGAACUAAAAAAAUUAUUUUCCAAAUCAGUACCAACACAAACCGAAUAUUCUCUAGCAAAUAGAACUAUAAAAUCUAAUUGCAUAUAGAACUAGAAAAUUUAUUUUCCAACAUGAAUGAAAAAAAUAAACACACUGAGCAGAGGUUAAUGCCACGCUCCAAAGAACACUAAAGAACAAAGGAUGAAAUUCACUAACAAUAACUGAGGUUUUAAACAUUAGCGAACUUCAGGACUAUCUCAAUAUGACACCACUUUCCAAGUGCAGAAAAUUAAACCUUGAGUAGAAAUACGACAUUCCCAAUAAUUUUGGGACAACAAGAAUUAAAUUACUGACAAUCACUAAGGUUAUAAACAGCAGGUCGGAACUAUCUCAGGAUACAGCAAGACAUGGUCGUUACAGGAAUAAAAUAAUCAUCACAGGAAUAAAGGAAUCGUCACAGGAAUAAAGGAAUCAUCAUGAUGCGGAAGACAAAGCAAAAAUAUCCCGGGAAAACCACAGCAAUCACUCGGUAUAAAAACGAGUGAAUGAAUAUAGACCUACAAACAAGAAAUAGUUAGAAUUAGUGACUAUUUUAAUCACGGAAAACAGUAAAAGGUGACUCCGUGAAAAUAAAUCACCAACUAAACCUAAAAGGAGAAAAAAUGUAUCAACUAACAAUAUAAGAAUUUUAUACUCUUUCAGCACAUUAUCCACCAUUCAUUUUUCAGUAACUACGCAUAAAUGAUGGAGGACUGCAUAAAUUUUUAUGUGACAUUGCAUAAAUAUUACAGUCAACAUUAAAUAGUCGGAAUAAAAAAUUAUGUCAUCUAGAAUAACAACAUAAAAAUCUGUUUAUGGGAAACAAUACAAGGAAACCAACCAUGCCAAACAGCGUAUCCUAGUGUGUAAGCAUCUCAAUGCUAACCUCUUAAAAUGUAUAACUAAACAAUGACAAGUAUAAAGAGAACCAUCACUACGAACUAAACACUAACCCUUUAAUAAUAGAAGCAAAACGUGCAACUCUGCAGUUAAGCUCCUCAAUACCUACAGAGAGUUUUGUUUAGCAAGGGGUCCAACACUGCAGAAAAGAGCCUGCAAAAAUUGAAGAAAAGAAUAACGCCAAUAUCCAGUUAUCAACCUGUAUAAUUCAUUAAAGAUCAAAGUAAGUACCUCAAAACAAAGACAAUGGAAAACCUUACUAGCUAGGCAGAACUGUUGCACAGCUACAUGGAUCCUCGAGGAAGCAUAAGUCACCAGUAAAACGUCUUUACGAUGAUACAUUCCAUGUUGCACAAAAGGUGCACAAUUCUUACAGGUGAAAGGCUGGUAUUGAUGAAUAGAAAACUGCACAUACAACAAUACUUGAUGCCUUGGUAUAAAGUCUUACUCGCUGCCACUAAUACUGGAGGGCAGCCUUUAUAAACAUUUGACAAGGUAAACCCUUACAUAUAACCCCAAAAGACCCAAGUACAAAUGCUUAAUAGGGAUAAUAUAAUACAGUGGCUGGCCAUUGUCAACCCAACUCAUACUGGUAUAAUACUAGAAUACAUGAUAUAUUCAUUACAAUAUUGAUGAAAUGUAGGCAACUAAGACAUUGGUUAAUAUAUGCAUAUAAUGAAUUGGUAAAUAAAAUAGACUUUGCUUAAAAUACUACUGAAGUAUUGCUGGAAAAUUGCAAAAAUAUAAUGGCAUAUGAGUUCUUGAUAGACAUUUUAGGCAUUUGCAAUUUAAUAUGUGUUUAAGAAAUUUUACAUAACCCCAUUGAUUCCGGGACAAUAGAGUUGCAUGUUUCAAGUUGAUCAAAAAUUUCACUGAUUUUAGUGCAGUCUUGCUUUUCAAGAGAAACCCAAAAGUGACCAAGAGCUCAACAUCUUCCAUGGAAUAUAUAAUGUCACCAAAGCCAGUGAGUUAUCCUUCAUAUAUGGCAUUAUAAUCUCCUUUAGUUUGAGCCAUUUGGAUGUCUUAGAGUAGGACAUAGUUCAACUGUAAUACAUGUGUAGAUUUAAAUAAACCAAUCAAUGUUACUGUGAUGUCCAAUCUAAAUUAAAGUGUUCAUAAGCUGUUGAAGAUCAAUGGUUAAAAUCAAGAAUCUAUCUGAGAAGGCCGAGUGCAAACCGCAAAAUAAUACUAACACAUGUGAGGGAUAAUAUAUAUACAUAUCUUAAUAUAUAGUUGGGCUGCAUUGGAAGACAAAAGCUGUUUCUGAAAUAAUCUGAGUCGCUUGGUAGAUGGAUUAAAAAUGUGAGCCUGGUGAGAAGCUGAUUCCCAUACCAGACAUUACUCCCUGGAGAACUACCUCAUAACUUCAUGAUUUAAUAUUAAUUGUUGUAGACAUAAGCUUAUCAUGUUCAGAAUCAUUAACUUAAAAUUAACCAUUUAUGGAAAUAUUGUGCAUGCCAUAGAAAAUGGAACUUGUUGGUAUCAUAAGAGUUUAUUAGCCAAUAAGAAUGGUUAAAAAUGUAAUGAUAAUUAGUACUAAAAAAGAGAGCAAUAUCUAUGCCGUAAAGAUUCAUACACAAUCAUUGCAUUAUCCACCAUUCAUGUCAAUGAUGAUUGAAAAAAUGACAGUGUAAUACAUAGAUAUUUUUCUCUUCCAAAAAUCUUAGACUUAUGAGAAAUGCACUAAAAUGAAUGUGAAGUUAUGUAUUGAGAAUCAUGUACCUUCAUGUGGCAUGAAAGGUAAUUAUGACGGAGAUAGUAGAAAGAGUAUUCAACGAGGGAAGGAGAAACACAACACACCCCGCGAGGGGAGAGUGGGGCCAAUAAAAAAAAGAAAGUGGCCGCCGAAAACUCUCCCCUCGCAACAACAAACUAAUAAUUUUAUUGAUUUUCUUUUGACCUGCCAAGCAAGCGCACCGGACAUGGCAAAGGUCUAGUAGUAACAAAAUAUAACAAUCAACGUAACAAGUACCUUACGAGUCUACGACUGUAUCAGUAUGCAUAACACGAGGUCUCUCUCACAGACAUAACUUCACACUGUAUAAGAUAAUAAUCUCCUAAAGGAUCGUACCGAUACAAUCGAAAUUAUACAAUCAAUCUCGCGUUAUUUGAACAAUUCCUUCACUAGGUGAAACCAAUUUCUCUGUUCUCGAACUAGAAGCAGAACUACUCAUCCAGAUCCAAUGUAAAAAUACAAAAUCCAUGUCGGUUAACGACGCAAUCAAGACCUGUAAAAAUUCGACAUAUUCAGAUCCAAUAAUAAGACAAGAAAUAAGAACCGGACUCGAAAAUUCGCAGAUCCAAAACUCACCUUAUCAAAAUCAAAACCAGAUCGAAGUAUUCCUCGCCUACGUCAAAUAAAUUUCUUCAUCCCUGAACGAGAACGAUUCCGUGAAAUCGAGAGCGAGAAUUCGAGCGGAUCUUGCAAAGAAUCAUCGCUUAAAACGUGAUCAAGGUUCAAUUCGCGGUGAUUUGACCGAGUCAGAUGGCGCCUAAUAGGGUUUCCCGCGAUGAGGGGGAUAUGAGGGGUUAUGGUGAUUUAUAUAGUGGAGUUUGAUGAAAAAGGUUUAACUCGCUCAUAAUACACCGUUGGUAUAGACGGUGAUAGGAAAUCGCAUCAGUUCAUUUUAAUCAAAUAAAACACUGAAUGGGUAGGUAAUGUAUUUGCGGUCACAAAGAAAGGAAGGUUCUCGAUAAACUAUAUAUUUUUGCCUCACACCGUGAGACGUGUUUCGCGUGUCGUUCUUUGAGGCCAGUCCUAAAAUAAGUUAAAUAACUCCUGCUCUUGCUUAGUAGGGGUAAUACAUGGCAAAACAGGUAUUUCCCACUAGCGCGCCAGCAUAGUCUAUAUUUUUUUGUGGGCAGGGCAUACAAUUUUUAUUCAUUUGCUCAUUUUGUCCACCAAGUUUGCGGGCAUUUCCAUUGGAUAUGCGGGCGGCCCAUAAAUAUAAUUUAAGGAAAAAAUAAUAAAAUUUUAAAUAAGUUAUAAUGUAAUGUGAUUUUCAAUCCCUAAAAAAAUUGUAAUCUAAUGUAAUGUGUCAAACUUCAUAUAAAAUAUCAAAAAAAUUGUUAAUUUUUUAUCUUCAACUAGUUUAUUUAAUUUCAUUUCAUUUAUUAUAUGAAUUUUUAUUUUUAAUUAUUCAACAAUGUCUGCGGGCAGCCGCAAGCCCGUUAGCAUGUUUUAAAACAGAUAGGGCAUUGAAUUUUGUCCGUUAAGUCAAUGCGGACAUUUGCAAGCGCGGACUAAAUGGAUAGGGCGGCCCGUUUUGCCAUCUCUAGUAGGGGUGUAAGCAAAUCCGAUUUAAAUCGCAAAACCGAUGGAACUAACCGAACCAAACUGCAAAAUGUGGUUCAGUUUAGUUGAGUUAUUUUUUAAGAAAAUGUUUAUGUUCAGUUUGGUUUAUGAUUUUAGAAAUUUAGAACUGAACCGCAUAUUAAAUAAAUAGAUACCAUGGAAUGAAGUUUAUUAUUGUUUAAAUUCUUCAUUCAAUUUUUAGCCUAAAUUGUCAAUUUUUGUGUGAAUUGUAGUGUUAUAUAUGUUACUAAAUUGUUAUUAAGUUAUUAUUAUAUAUGUUACUAGUUGCUAAAUUAUUUCCUUGUGUGUGGAUGAUUUGGAACAUAUUUUUCAUCUUUUGUGGUAUUGAGUUUGAAACUAUCAUAUAUUGUUAUACAUAUAUUGUCAUAUGUUACUAAUUGUGAAAUGUAAGGUUAUAAAUAUAAUUAUUAUAUAUUUUACUCAUUCAUAUAUGUUAUUAAUCAUGAAUUGUAUUAUUAUAUGUUACUAAUAGAAUAUAUGUUAUAAAUUGUGAACUGUAUUAUUAUAUGUGAUAAUUCGUUUUUUUAAUUGAUCAAUUAUAUAACUGUUAUAUGAGUAUGAAUUUACUUACUGUAAGGGUGAGUUUUGUAAACUUACUCCACAUUUUAGCCAUCAAUUAUAUAAAUAUCUAAUGAUUAAGAUCUACUUAUUAUUCAAACAAUUAUAUUUCACUAGAAUUGAUUCAAGGCUAGGAUAGGGAAUAAAAACUUACUCUUGCAGUAAUUGGAUUUCUCCUCUUGUUAAAUAUGUUACUCACAAACAAUUAUGAGUUCCAUUUUUUACACAUUUAUAUAUGAUCCAUAUUUUUUUAUAAUAAUAGUAGUAAUGUUUUUUCCUUUUAUGGAUAAACAAUAUAUCUUGUAAUAGUUUUGAACUUUAAAUUGAUGCAUGAUUGUCGCGCCGCAUUUUUCGGUUGCGCGACUUAUUUAUAGUCGCUACUACAUUUUAUGGUUAAAAAUACAGAAAAAUCUUUAAGUUCAGUCACCUUGGGCUUUUGGAUUUUUGACAUCCAAGUUUGGUACAUUUUACUAAACUAUAUGACUAUGUUAUUAUUAUUUUUAUUAUUAUUAAAUUAUUUGGUAAAUUAAUUAAUUAUUAAAAUGAACAAAUUUAUUUAAUUUUAUUAUUGUGUCUCACAAGAUUGACUUUCGUCCUACGUAUCCUUAUUAAGGGAAUUAAGGCUUACAUAGUUCUUUAGGUAGAAAAUAGUUUGUUGUUUGAUUGUAUUUUAAUUAAAGAAAGUAUAUUUUUUAGUCAAAAAUGUUUAUUUUGCAUGUUUAUUUAUUGGUGAAAAAAGUUUUUAUUUGGUUAAAUUUUGUUAUUUAUUUAAUUAAGAAAAUAGAAUUUAAUUAAUUUUGAGAUUUAAUCAGUUGAAAAGAAGCGGCGUAACGCGACAUUUCGAAAAUAAUUUGAGAAGAAAGAGACAUUUGCAGCACCUACUCUCCAUCUUUGAUUAAAUCUAUGUUUUAUUUAUAAAAAAUAUUAAUUUUUUUAUUAAUCACUUCAAAUUAUUUAUCGAAAAUAUUUUUUAUAAGUUGUCAAAAGGGCUUGGUUAAUUGAUUGAUAUAUAAUAAAUGCUUUUUUUUCUUUUGCUUUUUUUACCAUGUUGAAAUAUGCCUAAUUAAUCCAAAUAAUUUAUUAAUAGUUAUUUUUAUUUUUAUUGAACUUUGACUGUUUAAUGACCUUUGAUGAUUAAUUAGCAUAAAAUAAAAAAAAUAGUUGCUAAAAAUAAAUGAAACUAAAAAAUAGUUUUGAUGAUUAUAUACUAAAGUGAUGGAUUAUCUUUUUGUUUAUGAUGUUUAUACCUUACUAUAAAAAAUUUCUAAUUUAGUGUACAUUGUUAUUGUUAAAUUUCAUACAAUAUGAUAUAUAUAUAUAUAUAUAUAUAUAUAUAUCAAACUUAAUUUAGAAAUUUAUUAUCAACCUUAUAAUGCACAAAAAUCAUAAAUUAAACAUUCUUGAUUGCAAAAGAAUUUAAUUUUACAGUACUGUAAGGGCUUGAAUCGCGUGUGACAAGCCUGGAAAUUGAGGAGCAUGUGACAGAUGUUGAGAGGAUGAAAUGUGGAGGAUCAACGCCUCCAGACACGUUGUGUAUUCGGAUGUGGGUUUGAUGGAUGCACGGAAGGCAAUUCUGGACCCGUGUGUACAUGAUCGUGUGUUCUCAUGGGUGCAAGGAUCAUGUGCGUCCUGGCACACUAGAAACGAGAUGAUUUUCAUCUUCUGAUUGGCAGAUCAUAAAGUUAAAGUGAGGGAGUAUUUGGUAAGUGGAUCAGACGGCUAAUAUUUAGCUCUGAAGCGAGUGCACGGGAACAACAUGUUCCCGUCUGCACUGCAUUACUUUGAAUAAAUAAAAUUUUGCACGCUACUUUUUUGGUAGAGGUUUUUCAAUGUUUUCAGCGUAGUUUUUUUAUGUUCUAUUUAUAGUGAAAUUUCAACCACUUAAUCCCAAAAUUUAAGUUAACAAAUUUUCAACUCUAGAGAAAUCUAAUCCCUUAAAUUAAGAGACCUUAAUAGAAUGAUUUGACAAUGUUAUUUUAAUAUUAUUCUCUUAACUCAUUUUCAAAUUCAAAUUAGGUUGUAAUUGUAUUUUACUUAUUUAUUUAUUUUAAUUAAUAUGAAAAUAUUUAUAAAAAAUGGAUAAAAUAAAAUUUAAUUAUUUUUUAUACACUUAAUAUUCAAAAUUUUGAAAAAUCAAAGUAAAUAAAUAAAUAGAAAAACAUUUUUUUCUCUUUUUUUCCUCUAUUUUUAAGAAAAAGAAUGUGGGCUCAUAGUAGCCAAUUCUCAAUUCAAAUUUUUAUUUUCUAAAAAAUCAUUUUCUUGUGGAUUAAUUUAAUUUAGUUUUGAACUUUUGGUUAACCUAAUCAUUUAGAUUUAGGAACCCUAACAACCUUGAUUUAUUUAUUAUUAUUUUUUAAUUUUCGGUUAACCUAAUCAAUUAGAUUUAGGAACCUUAUCAACAUAGAUUUAGUAUUAUUAUUUUUGAAUUAUUGGUUAACCUAAUCACUUAGAUUUAGGAACCUUAUCAACAUAGAUUUAAUAUUAUUAUUUGUUAUAUUUUUUGUUAACCUAAUCACUUAGAUUUAGGAAUCCAAUCAACAUAGAUUUUUGUAAAAUGAAGCUUCUAGAAAAUAUGUUCCAAGUAUUUUUUUAAUUUCUCUGAUUUAAUUAAUUUCGAAAAUAAUUAUAAAAACUCCAUAAAAUGGUUUUAAUUAUUUUUAUUCAUUAAAAUUAAGUAAAAUCAUUUUACAAUUUUCAUUUAAAACGUUUUGACUUUUUCUGGGCCGGAAAAAAAUGAGUGUUCAUAAUGAUUUUUUAUAAAAAAAGUAAUUGGAAUAACCGUAGAACUGAACCGAACCAUUCAAGAACGGUUCGAUUGUUAUAGUUAAUUUUGCGAUAAUUGAGCGGAAUCAAACCAUAUGUUUUUAUUCGGUUCGGUCACUAAAAUGCACUAAAAUCUUAACCGAUCUGAACUUUUACACCUCUAUUGUUUAGUCUGUUCGGGACUUCGGGCCUAAUAGCCACUUAUAUCUGCAUUUUGGGUCGUAUGCAAAAUUGAAAAGUGUCACUAGGCCCAUUAUUUUCUUUUAGUCUAAUGUGUUUUAGUAAAUAACAUAAACCUUAAUUUGUAUAUGUAAAUUAUACUGAUUAUCUUCAUAGAAGAAAUAAGUGUAAUAUUUUAAAUAAGAAACAAUAAUAAGUGCAAUUAAGUUAAACAAAAUAUGAUACAUUGUGCACACAAUCCAAAUAGUAUAAAAGUGGUCUAAUUAAAUAACAUCUUCUUAAAAUUAUUGAUGUAUUUUGUAUCAUAAGUUAGGACAUAUAGCUAUCCAUUAAUUAGAGUUAAUACAACAAUCAUCACUCUUAAAAAAAUAAUACAAAGUGAAAAGUAAUUGAAGUAUUGAUGUAAUAUUACACUCGUUAGAAAUACUAAAAUAGUCACUAUUGGACAAGUUGUCAAUUAGUUUGGUAUAUAUAAGACUGCAAUGAACCGAACCAACUUGGUAUUCGUUCGAAACUCGAUUCAUUAUUUAGCUUUGUUGGGGAUGCUCGAAUUAUGUUAUUAUAUUAGUCCAAUAUUGCCUAAUAUUGGAAUAGAGUAGAGUGAUCAAUGUUAUAUAUUAGACUCAAGUUCCUUGUUAUAAUGCAUACCAGAUAGAAGCACCAAAUAGAAACACUCCAUGGGCACUUGGGUCCAUGGGUGUGCUAGGAUUUGUAAUCCUUGCACCAAAUAGAAACACUCCAUGGGCACUUGGGUCCAUGGGUGUGCUAGAAUUUGUAAUCCUUAUAGUCUAAUAAUAUCUUGGUAGCCGCUCAGUGCUCCCGGGGUCGUGAACACAAUUGGCCAAACCAUGUUAGCAAAUUCUCUUAUUUCUUCUCUUUUAUUUAUUCAAUAAACUUUAUUUGAUUGCAUGUGAUCAAUAUUGUGCAACAAUUGCUUUCGUUGCACCAACAAUUAGUAUCACAGUUCAUUGGUAGGUGUCUCUUAACUCAGACGUUAGAUAAUGGCUAAAGUGGGUGAAUGUGUGAUGGAUAGAUAAGGUGCAUCAAAUGUACUACGCAUGAAUAAAGUAGAUGAGUGGAAGGAGAAGAAAACAUGGUACAACUAUGGAGAGAGUAAUAUAUGUUGACCCAAAACCCAGAAGUUCAUGUACUGGAUUAGGAACAAGGUGAAAUAGAGACUCCUAUGUUGAGUUUGACCCUGAGACAAGUGUUGACAAUAUUUCUCUAGAUGUUGAGAGAAUGGUCUCAUUUGAGAUGAGAAGUGGAAUAUCUUAAUGGCGUGUCUGCGAUGUCAUGGUGAAAGAUAUUAAUUUUUAGUAGAUCCGCACAAGCAUAGAGUUACUGGCUGACUUAGAUGCAGGGUGUGACAUGUGCAUUGACUUGGAUGUGGCAUGAGCAUUGGUUAGCAUUGACACACGAUGUGUGUUGUGGAAAAAGUUAUGAAACCCGAACUGGUCAUCAACCCGGAAGAGGUCCCGUACAAGUUCUAACUUGUUUAACUAGUUAGACCGUUUGGUUAGACCAAACGAUUUUAUAAUAUCUUAUAUAAUUAUAUAUUAUAUAAUUAAUUAAAAUAAGUGAAUAACACAUUUAUCAAUGUCAUGCUUUGUGUAAUGCAUAACAUAUAAAUUAAAAUAAAAGUACAUCAAAUAAGUUUAUGUUACAUAAUUAAAAUUAUAAAUCAAAACACAAUUAUCUCAGAGAGAUUAAACAUUCUAAUUCAUCUGAAUAUUAUUGUCUUCAUUAGAUCCUAAAUUAACAUUACUGGUUAGAAAUGCAGUUGGAGUGUAAGUAUCUACAUCUUCUUAAGAAAAAGAGUUUAAAUUAAACACUCCACUUAAUAAUUCACAAACAAUAUCUCAAAUCAUAACAAUUUAACAUUAAAACUUAUUAACUAAAAUUAUAUUGAGAUUAAAAACAAGAACUAAUAUUGAAUCAUAAAUUAAUUGAACUUGGCAUUAAUAAGAACUUAAAUACUAAAUACAAAGUGCGAGUUGUGGCCACACUUUGCAGCUAACACAUGUAUGUGCUGAUAAGGUAGUCAAUAUGAUUGGAGAAGAGAGAGAGAGUUAGUGAGAGUGGGUGAGUUCAAUAUUUAAUUAAAAGAAACUCAUAACAGACACUAAAAGACAAGAACAAACAGUGAAGGAUAUAUCAUUAAAUAAUAUAACAUAAACAUUAUCUAAACUAAUAACAUAAACAAAGAAAUCCUUUCAUACCACCAUAAUGCACAAACAUUGGAAGUCAAUGACGAACAAUGUAGGAUGAUGAUGCAAACAACGAAGGAGAUGGUGAUGCAAAUGGCGAAGUAGAUGGCGAUGCGAACAGCGAAGGAUGGUGGUGGCUAGAUGUUAUCAUUUCUCUCUAUUUCUUCUUUCUUGGGUCUCUAUAUUUCUUCUUUCUUGGGUCUCUAUAUUUAUUCUUUCAUGGGUAUGUUUAUGACCUUUCCAAGUUUCACUAUUUUGUUUUAUGAUUUCUAUUUUAGUUUUUUUAAAUAGUUGGACCGGUUGAUUUAACCAAUCAGGUUUACCCGGUCUAAGCCAGUUUGAUCGGAUUAAAGUAGGCCAAAAAAGGUAUGAGAAGGAUUCUAGUUUAGUGGCUAGUAUGGGACCGCAUACACAAGCGGUCAACGGUCGGACCGCCCAGUCCGGUCCUAAUAACUAUGAUUGUGGAUAUACUCCUUAUGGUGGAUCAUGAUAGUUUUGUUUGAACUAUGAUUGUCGUAGUAGACAAUUGUGGUAGCGGUUGAGGCUUUUCAAGGAAGCUUUAUGGUUCAGCUAGCUCGGUAUUGAAGAAGACGGUUGUUGGUUAACUUUGGUGUAUAGGUUCCAUAAUACUGAAAGACUCUCUAACAAUAGGUGGCUAGAUGGUGUGUUCCAUUAGAUGGCGGUAUGGGAAGAUGCACUAGAAGUUUGGAGAGUUAGGCUCUUGGUAACAUCGUCAAGGAUACUCAAAAAGUCUAAUGUUGAAGGGGAGCAAGCUCUUAUGUGGAGGAGUUGCAUAAGAGAAUUAGACAUUGAACAAGGUCGAGUCACAUAUUCGCUAAGGUGGAGAUUCUUGUGUAGAUUUCAAUGAGCGAGAUAAUCAUUUAUUUCAAUCAAUAUGAGGAUGUUUGAAAUAUAUUAUUGUAUUAGUUCAACAUUGCCUAGUAUUGGAAUAGAGUAGAGUGAUCAAUUUAUGUAUUGGACUCGAGUCCCUUAUUAUAAUAUGUACCAGAUAGAAACACCAAGUACAAACAUCCCAUGUGCACUUGGGUCAAUGAGUGUGCUAGGGUUAGAGAUGACAUAAUGUGUCACCCGAUCCAUUUUAUCUGUGCCCAUAAAUGCCCGCAAAAAUUUAAGCGAACAUGGGCAAACCCGCAUUGGCUUAAUGGACAAAAUGACAUGGCAUAUCCAUUUUAAAAUGGACUAACGAGCAGCCCAUGGACAUUGAUGAAUAAUUUAAUAAUUAAUAUAAUAAAAUAAAAAGAAACUAAAUAAAUUAGUUAAAACUUAAAGGAGAACAAUAUUUUUUUAAAAACUUUAAUAUUCUAUAUAAACUUGACUAAAUCAUAUUACACUACAAUUUUUUGAAACAUUAUAUCAUAAUUUAUUGUAUUUUUUUCUUAUUUUUCCUUACAUUAUGCCUCCGGCCCGCAUUGCCUAUUACAAAUGCUUGUUGGCUUCGCGAGCAAACAAACAAAUUUUACAUGUCACGCCCGCAAAAAAUUACAGGCUAUGCGGAUGGGCCCGUGGGCUAUGUCCAUUUUGCCAUCUAUAGCUAGGGUUUGUAAUCAUUAUUCUCUAAUAAUAUUUUGGUAACCGCUCAGCGUUCUCAUAGACGUAGACACAAUUGGUCGAACCCGUUAUAAAUUUUUCUUGUUUCUUCUCUUCUAUUUAUUCAAUGCACUUUAUUUGAUUGCUUGUGGCUAACGUUAGACAACGAUCGCUUCCAGUGCACCAACAAUCUCAAUAAACUUGGUUCAUGAACUAAAUGAGUUGAACUUGAGCUGAAAAUUGAGUUCCUUAAAGAAACGAGUUGAACUUGAGUUGAAUAUAGUUUGACUCGUUGGGUUCAUGAGCUGACUCGAUAUAUAUAAACUAAUUUUUAUGUUUAUUAUGAUCCAUACAUUAUUUUUUAUGUUUAUAGUCUAAUGUUGAAGGGGAGCAAGCUCUUAUGUGGAGGAGUUGCAUAAGAGAAUUAGACAUUGAACAAGGUCGAGUCACAUAUUCGCUAAGGUGGAGAUUCUUGUGUAGAUUUCAAUGAGCGAGAUAAUCAUUUAUUUCAAUCAAUAUGAGGAUGUUUGAAAUAUAUUAUUGUAUUAGUUCAACAUUGCCUAGUAUUGGAAUAGAGUAGAGUGAUCAAUUUAUGUAUUGGACUCGAGUCCCUUAUUAUAAUAUGUACCAGAUAGAAACACCAAGUACAAACAUCCCAUGUGCACUUGGGUCAAUGAGUGUGCUAGGGUUAGAGAUGACAUAAUGUGUCACCCGAUCCAUUUUAUCUGUGCCCAUAAAUGCCCGCAAAAAUUUAAGCGAACAUGGGCAAACCCGCAUUGGCUUAAUGGACAAAAUGACAUGGCAUAUCCAUUUUAAAAUGGACUAACGAGCAGCCCAUGGACAUUGAUGAAUAAUUUAAUAAUUAAUAUAAUAAAAUAAAAAGAAACUAAAUAAAUUAGUUAAAACUUAAAGGAGAACAAUAUUUUUUUAAAAACUUUAAUAUUCUAUAUAAACUUGACUAAAUCAUAUUACACUACAAUUUUUUGAAACAUUAUAUCAUAAUUUAUUGUAUUUUUUUCUUAUUUUUCCUUACAUUAUGCCUCCGGCCCGCAUUGCCUAUUACAAAUGCUUGUUGGCUUCGCGAGCAAACAAACAAAUUUUACAUGUCACGCCCGCAAAAAAUUACAGGCUAUGCGGAUGGGCCCGUGGGCUAUGUCCAUUUUGCCAUCUAUAGCUAGGGUUUGUAAUCAUUAUUCUCUAAUAAUAUUUUGGUAACCGCUCAGCGUUCUCAUAGACGUAGACACAAUUGGUCGAACCCGUUAUAAAUUUUUCUUGUUUCUUCUCUUCUAUUUAUUCAAUGCACUUUAUUUGAUUGCUUGUGGCUAACGUUAGACAACGAUCGCUUCCAGUGCACCAACAAUCUCAAUAAACUUGGUUCAUGAACUAAAUGAGUUGAACUUGAGCUGAAAAUUGAGUUCCUUAAAGAAACGAGUUGAACUUGAGUUGAAUAUAGUUUGACUCGUUGGGUUCAUGAGCUGACUCGAUAUAUAUAAACUAAUUUUUAUGUUUAUUAUGAUCCAUACAUUAUUUUUUAUGUUUAUUGUUGUUAUAUAUAUAAAAACAAGAUUAUAUUUAUAUAUAUAAAACAUUUUGUAGUAUUUUUCAAAUUUUAAUUAAUAAUUUGAGUUAUACAAGUGAACCAUUCGAACUAAAUCGAAUAGUUUACGAACUUUAACCGAACUGAACUUGAGCUAAAAAAGUACCUAGUAUCGAACUCAAGUCAAGUUUCGAGUUGAGUCAAUCUUUAUCGAGCUGAACUCUGAUUCAAUUAUUUUCGUAUAUAUGUCCAAACUUGUGUGGUGGGCCUUGUUUACUAGUCACGUCCUUUAAAGAAUUCAACAAAGACAAUUAGAAGGACACCUUUCACACAAUUGAAGGAAAAUCAGUGGAAAUCAGUGAGCAAACAAAGUUGAACCCCAAGACUAAUAUAUCAAAACAAGAAAACAUUCAAGACCAAGUCUUUGUACCAUCUACUUGUAACUAUAAAUCAUCUAUCAUAGCUAAGCAGAAUUUAAUAAUCAGCUAUGCAUGACACUUUUAUUGUUUUAAAUUAUUCUCUAUUAAAUACCAACCAGAAGUUAAUAUUGUGGUGCUGAAUUCUGAGAGUAUUGUAUUACGCCUAACAAUCAAAAAGUUUAAUUCUUAUCUGCGAUAAUUAUUUAGAGAGACAAUCACACACCUUAAAGAGUUUAGUUCAUUGUCAAAGUUGAGAGAAUAUCAUUGGUUCCAAAAAAAUGAUCCUCUCUUAAUGGCUAAGGAAUGGUCUGGUCCUGAGGGGAGCAUAAGUGUGUCACUUUAUGUGACACAACUUGUAAUUGGUUGAAAAAAAUGUAUUGAAGUUAAAAAAUUAAAGAUUAAAUAUUUUUUUGACUAAUCAUAAAUAGUAAUACAUUGAGUGAUACACUUUUAUGGGACAUCAGAUGUCCACCCGAUCCUGAGGAGCUCUGAAAUAGAAGGAUGCAUGUAAGGAGGAGGAUAUUCCAGUAUUUCUUGCGUUACCAUUUUAAUUGUCUCUUGUAUUGCUUAUGAUGUGUGUGAGCUUAGUUAACAUUUGAAAACUUCGAGAUUGAAGUCUAUGUAUAUCUGUUCAGUAAUAUAAAUGAAGUUUUCCUCUCUUAAAUUAUGGUCAUGUUUUAUCUUUCCUAUAAAUUAUUUUUUUGUUUCAAACUUUUUCUUCAUUUUAUAAGAAUGGUCAAAUCUAACCUUAACAAUGUACUAUUCAGUCAUCAAAUCAAGAAAACCAUAGAAAUUACAAUUUUGUCCUUACACCUUGAGUGAAUUGGAAAAACUAUAUUCUAGGUGAAAAUAAACACCAUGUAAUAAACUUUUUUGUUUGUAUUCAUUUAUAUGUGAAAUUAGUUUACUUAAUUUUAAUUUCAUUACUUAUGAACUCACAGAUAAAUACUAGUUGUAUAUACUCAAUAGAAAUAUAGUGAAAAUCAAAAAAAUUUAAAAUUACAUAUAAAAUGACAAAUAAUAACUAAAUUAUAAAUACAAAACGCAAAUGCGCAAAAGUGAGAUAAUUAGAGAUAUAAAAGUAGUUAUCAAAUAUGAGUUAUAAUUUCUUUAGAUACAUUAGUGAGAAGAAAUAUAAGAUAUUAAUGAUUUUUAUAAACAAAAGUGACUAUAUUAAAUUUUAUAAUUUACAUGUUAGUUAAAAAUAUUAAUUAAUAUUAUAAAAAAAUUACAAAAAAAAUUAUUUUUGUAAUGUGUAAUAAUAAAAUUUAAUUUGUAAAUAUUAGACAUACUACAUAAUUUUUUAUAUUAAACUAAUGAAGACACUUAUGCCAUUUUAUACACAUUAUAUAUUUUCUUUCCUCUUACUUUUCUUUCAUUUUCAAUCAUACUAAACAACAAAAUUAUUAUCUCAUUUUCUACUAUUUUAUUUCCUUCCACUUUUUUCCUUCUAUUUUUUAUCCUUAACCAAACAUUGUAUAACUGUAUUGGCUGUAAUGCAAUGAUUUGAAGUUCAUAUUUAGUUUAUCAAAAUUGUAGAUGUAUAACAAGCAAAAGUUGCAGAAUUGUUGCCAAUACUAUGCUCUCUCUUUCCUUAUAGGUGUCAAUGUAACAUUUUACAUGAUUUAAUUACUGAAAGAUAUUGGCACACUCAUGUCCAUACAACAUUCUUACUUGACAUCUAUCAAUGAUUACUUGAUAACAUUCUUACUUGACAUCUAUCAACGAUUACUUGACAACAUUCUUACUUGACAUUUUACAUGAUUUUCUUCAUAUAUGACUAACUUACAUUGUUGAAAUAUUACUAUUGUGAGUUCAAUUAUAAUUAUAAUUAUUUCAUUGUUGUCCUAUUCAUGAUUUAACACCAAUUUUAUAUAAACUAAUAAAGUUAAAUACAUACACUUACGAUUUAAAGAUUUAUACACAGUCAAUACAUCAUUCAUCAUUCAUUUGUAUUACUUUUAUUUAAGAGUCAAUUAAGAUCAGAAAUAAAUGAUAAACGAUACAGUGAUAAUAUAAAAAAUUCUUAUACUAUCGGAGCAUACAUCUUUUUCUCUCAAGUUUAAUGCAUAAUUAGGAACAAAAGACAUAAAACUUAGAUAAGUUUUAUACACUUUCCUCUUCAAUAUAAGUCACUUUUAUUUUAGUCAAUACUUUCUUUAAUAGAAAACCAUACCUGCUUGUUAAUUGUUAUACUGUCUGUCCUCGACAACAAGAUCAUGAAUAAAAUGCAUGCCCCUUUCCAUGGACAACCCCAAUUUCCCCAUUUGAGACCAGGAACACCAAGAGUUAGUUUGGGAGUUUGAUUUUGGAGGGGAAGGAAGGAAAGGCUUAGGAGGCAUAAAAUACAUUUGUGAGAUAACUUCAAAGCCUUCCAUUUUCCUUCAUUCCCCUCCAAAAUCAAACUCCGAAACUAACCUUAAGUCUCCUUUUUGAGGAAUCUCUGCCUUCAUAUAAGUUGGUGCUGUUCACAGCAAUCAGAAACAUUCAGUAGCCUGCAAAAGGGAACAACGUGUAUCACAUAACUGGCUUCACCCAGUUUCUAAAUGAGAAAAGGAAUGAAUUGGGACCAUAAAGUUAAAUAUUAGACCCAUCUUAGCACUAUUACCAUAUCCCAUUACAGCACUUACUUAGAAACAGGAGAUUGUUUUAGUAUGGGUUUUGAAAAUGUGCAGUAAAUCUUAGAAUAAAACUAACUCUUAAAAAUUAAAUACUCGAAUUCCAACGUUGACUUUAGACCUUCGAAUUGCAAUAAUGGCUAAAGUUGUACAUCUUUCCAAUUCCAGCAUCUCCCUUUCUAGAGUCCCAAACACAAUUAUUAUUUUCCCAACCACAAGUAGCAGUUCAUAUAGACAGCGGAUCCAGGUGGACUCGAACCACCAUCCUCCCAUACUUAACCGUUGGGCGCUCUUUCCAAUUUGAGCCUAUGGAUCCAUCAUUGCGAAGAGUAGUUUUUAUCAUAGGGGAAUUUUUAUAUCAAAUGAAAAAUUCAAUGACAACCAAAAGCUUACCCAAGAAAAUUACGAAACAUAACCAUUUCAAACAUAAAUGGUUAUUUACCAGAGUACAAUAACAAAUAACUACAAGAGUCUAGCCGCAUAAAGUGGCGAAUUUGCGCUUGGUUCUAUCAUCAUUCUACAGAAAGAUCAAGUUAAUUCAAUUCAUGCAAUUUGCAGUUACUAAAUUAUGGAUUAAAACUAUAGAUCUCGGUUUAAAUUGUCAAUAUUGUCAUACCAUACCAUUUUUUAUGGGUCACACUGUACUUAUAAGAGAUUGAAACAGAACUAUAAAUGGGCUCAAUCUAGAAGCCAAACUGGUCAGCUCCCUAAAGCUAAUCUCACGGAUUAUAACUAUAAUUACAGUCUCUUCCAUGUUAUUAAGGAAAACCUACGAAGGAGGGCGCUCACCUUAACAAUUAUCAAAAGGCACCGAAUAUUCUCUAGCAAAUAGAACUGUAAAAUCUAUUUGUAUAUAGAACUAGAAACUCUAUUUUCCAAAUCAGUACCAACACAAAUCCAUAAACAUUUGAAAAUAGAACCAUAAAAUCUAAUUGCAUAAUUGCACAAUUGCACAUAGAACUAGAAAAUUUAUUUUCCGACAUGAUUGAAAAAAAUAAACAACGGGUUAAUACCACGCUCCAAAGAACACUAAAGAACAAAGGAUGAAAUUCACUAACAAUAACUGAGGUUUUAAAUAUCAGCUAACUUCAGGACUAUCUCAAUAUGACACCACUUUCCAAGUGAAAAAAGUUAAACCUUGAGUAGAAAAAUACCACGUUCCCAAUAACUUUUGAAUUUUGAACAACAAGGAUUAAAUUACUGACAAUCACUAAGGUUAUAAACAGCAGUUCGGAACUAUCUCAGGAUACAGCAAAACCACAGCGAUCACUCAGUAUAACAACUAGUGAAUAAAUGUAGACCUACAAAAAGGAAAUGGUUUGAAUUAGUGACUAUUUUAAUCAUGGAAAACAGUAAAAGGUGACCCCGUGAAAAAAAACUACCAACUAAACAAGAGUUACAAUAAAAAACUAUGUCAUCUAGAAUAACAAAAUAAAAAUUUGUUUCAGGGAAACACUCCAGGAAAACAAGCAUGACAACAGUGAAUCCUAGUGUGUAAGAAUCAGAAUGCUAUCCUCUUAAAAAAUUUAAUUGAACAAUCACAAGUAUAAAGACAACCACCACCAUGAACUAAACAAUAACCCUUGAUAAUAGAAGCAAAACAUGCAACUCUGGAGUUCAGCUCCUUCCUACCUACAGAGGGUUUUGUUUAGCAGCCCACAAGAGGGUUACACAUAAGUGGGAUGUGAGGAGGGUAGAUAUAUACUGUCUUACUCUUCAAGCAGAAAAGUGGCUGCAAAAUUUGAAGAGAAGAAUUAACACCAAUAUCCAGUUAUCAACCUGUAUAAUUCAUUUAAGAUCAAAGUAAGUACCUCAAAACAAAGACAAUGGAAGACCUUCUUAGCUAGGCAGAACUAUUGCACAGCUAAUCGAUCCUAGAGGAAGCAUAAGCCACCAGUCAAAACAUCAUGUCUUUACAAUGAUACAUUCCAUGUUGAACCACAGGUGCACAAUUCUUACAGGUCAAAGGCUGAUACUGAUGAAUAGAAAACUGCACAUGCAACAAUACUUGAAGCCUUGAAGGUACACUGGAUACAGUCUUACUCACUGCCACUUAUACUGCAGGGCAGUCUUUUUAAACAUUUGAUGAGGUAAACCUUACAUAUAACCCCAAAAGACCCGACUACAAAUGCUUAAUAGAGAUAAUAUGGUACAGUGACUGGCCAUUGUCGACCCAACUCAUAUUGGUGUAAUACUAGAAUACAUGAUAUAUUCCUUACAACAUUGAUCAAAUGUAGGCAACUCAGACAUUGGCUAAUAUAUGCAUAUAAUGAAUCGGUAAAUAAAAUAGACUUUGCUUAAAACACUACUGAGGCAUUUGCUAGCAAAUUGCAAAAAUAUAGUGGCACAUGAGUUCUCGACAAACAUUUUAGGCAUUUGCAAUUUAUUAUGUAAUUAAGAAAUUUUAAAUCACCCCAUUGAUAUCGGGACAAUGGAAUUGCAUGUUUCAAGUUGAUCAAAAAAUUCACCGAUUUUAGUGCAGUCUUGCUUUUCGAGAGGAAUCCAAAAGUGACCAAGAGCUCAACAUAUUCCAUGGAAUAUAAAAUAUCACCAGAACCAAUGAGUUCUCCUUCAUAUAUGGCAGUACAAUCUCUUUUAGUUUGAGCCAUUUGGAUGUCUUAGAGUACGACAUAGUUCAACUGUAAUACAUGUGUAGAUUUAAAUAAACCAAUACAUGUUACUAUUGUGUCCAGUCUAAAUUAAUGUGGUUAUAAGCUGUUGAAGAUCAAUGGUUAAAAUCAAGAAUCCAUGUGAGAGGGCUGAGUGCCAACCGCAAAAUGAAGCUAACGCAUGAGAGGGAUAUUAUAUAUAUACAUAGUUUGGCUGCAUUGGAAGACAGAAGCUGUUUGUGAAAUAAUCUGAGUCCGUUGGUAGAUGGAUUAAAAAAUGUGAGCCUGGUAAGAAACUGCUUCCCUUAACAGAUACUACUCCCUGGAGAACUAUUCACAACUUCAUAAUCUAAUAUUAAUUGUUGUCAAAUACGCCUACCAUGUUCAGAAUCAUUAACUUAAAAUUAAUGGUAGGGAAUCAUGCUCGAGAAGUAAAUUAAACAUUUAUGGAAAUAUUGUGAAUGCCAUAGAAACUGGAACUUGUUUGUAUCAUAAGAAUUUAACCAACAAGAAUGGUUAAAACUGUAAUGAUAAAGUAUUAAAAAAGAGAGCAAUAUCUAUGCCAUGAAGAUUCAUACAUAAUCAUUGCAUUAUCCACCAUUCAUGUCAAUGAUGAUUGAAAAUGAACAGUGGAUAAUACGAGGACAGUGUAAUGCAUAAAUAUUUUUCUCUUCAAAAAAUCUUUGACUGGUAUGAGAAAUGCACUAAAAUGAAUGUGAAGUUAUGUAUUGAGAAUCAUGUACCUUCAUCGUGCUGUGUUUUUUUAAUCAUAAUCCCGGUAUGCGUGUGGCUUGAAAGGUAAUUAUGACGGAUAUAGUAGAAAGAGUAUUCAACGAGGGAAGGAGAAACACACCAGACUCCGCAAGGGGAAAGUGGGGCCAAUAAAAAAAGUAUGGUUGGCCCCAAAAACUCUCCCCUCGCAACAACAAACUAAUAAUUUUAUUGAUUUUCUUUUUGACCUGCCAAGCAAGCGCACCUGACAUGGCAAAGGUCUAGUAGUAACAAAAAAUAACAAUCAACGUAACAAGUACCUUACGAGUCUACGAGUGUAUCAGUAUGCAUAACACGAGGUCUCUCUCACAGACAUAACUUCACACUAUAAGAUAAUAAUCUCCUAAAGGAUCGUAUGGAUACAAUCAAAAUCAUACAACUGAUCUCGCGUUAUUUGAACGAUUCCUUCACUAGGUGAAACCAAUUUCUCUGUUCUCGAACUGGAAGGAGAACGACUCAUCCAGAUCCAACGCCAAAAUCCAAAAUCCAUGUCGGACAACGACGCAAUCAAGACCUGUAAAUUCGAAACAUUCAGAUCCAAUAAUAAGACAAGAAAUAAGCACUGAACUCGAGAAAUCGCAGAUCUAAAACUCACCUUAUCAAAAUCAAAACCAGAUCGAAGUAUUCCUCGCCUUCGCCAAUACAAUUUCUCCAUCACAGAACGAUAACGAUCCCGUAAAAUCGAGAGCGAGAAUUCGAGAGAAUCUUGCAAACAACCAUCGCUUAAAACGUGAUCAAGGUUCGAUUUGUUGUAAACGGAUCGAGAAUCGCUGAUUUGACCGAGUCAGAUGGCACCUAAUAGGGUUUCCCGCGAUGAGAGGGUUAUAAGGGAU